rnacentral:rRNA from 1 species
GUACACUCCUACGGGAGGCAGCAGUGGGGAAUUUUGGACAAUGGGCGAAAGCCUGAUCCAGCCAUGCCGCGUGCAGGAUGAAGGCCUUCGGGUUGUAAACUGCUUUUGUACGGAACGAAACGGCCUUUUCUAAUAAAGAGGGCUAAUGACGGUACCGUAAGAAUAAGCACCGGCUAACUACGUGCCAGCAGCCGCGGUAAUACGUAGGGUGCAAGCGUUAAUCGGAAUUACUGGGCGUAAAGCGUGCGCAGGCGGUUAUGUAAGACAGUUGUGAAAUCCCCGGGCUCAACCUGGGAACUGCAUCUGUGACUGCAUAGCUAAAGUACGGUAGAGGGGGAUGGAAUUCCGCGUGUAGCAGUGAAAUGCGUAGAUAUGCGGAGGAACACCGAUGGCGAAGGCAAUCCCCUGGACCUGUACUGACGCUCAUGCACGAAAGCGUGGGGAGCAAACAGGAUUAGAAACCCCUGUAGUCCCA